rnacentral:rRNA from 1 species
UACGUAGGGUGCAAGCGUUGUCCGGAAUUAUUGGGCGUAAAGAGCUCGUAGGCGGUUCGACAAGUCGGAUGUGAAAUCUCCACGCUCAACGUGGAGGGGCCAUUCGAAACUGUCGUGACUUGAGUCCGGUAGGGGAGACUGGAAUUCCUGGUGUAGCGGUGAAAUGCGCAGAUAUCAGGAGGAACACCGAUGGCGAAGGCAGGUCUCUGGGCAUUAACUGACGCUGAGGAGCGAAAGCAUGGGGAGCGAACAGG